CGCCUGGGGAGUACGGCCGCAAGGUUAAAACUCAAAUGAAUUGACGGGGGCCCGCACAAGCGGUGGAGCAUGUGGUUUAAUUCGACGCAACGCGAAGAACCUUACCUGGCCUUGACAUGCAGAGAACUUUCCAGAGAUGGAUUGGUGCCUUCGGGAACUCUGACACAGGUGCUGCAUGGCCGUCGUCAGCUCGUGUCGUGAGAUGUUGGGUUAAGUCCCGUAACGAGCGCAACCCCUAUCCCUAGUUGCUAGCAGUUCGGCUGAGAACUCUAGGGAGACUGCCGGUGACAAACCGGAGGAAGGUGGGGAUGACGUCAGGUCAUCAUGGCCCUUACGGCCAGGGCUACACACGUGCUACAAUGGUGCGCACAGAGGGCUGCAAACCCGCGAGGGGGAGCCAAUCUCACAAAACGCAUCGUAGUCCGGAUCGCAGUCUGCAACUCGACUGCGUGAAGUCGGAAUCGCUAGUAAUCGUGAAUCAGAAUGUCACGGUGAAUACGUUCCCGGGCCUUGUACACACCGCCCGUCACACCAUGGGAGUGGAUUGCACCAGAAGUGGUUAGUCUAACCUUCGGGAGGACGAUCACCACGGUGUGGUUCAUGACUGGGGUGAAGUCGUAACAAGGUAACCGUA
rnacentral:rRNA from 1 species